UACAGAGGUCUCAAGCGUUGUUCGGAUUCAUUGGGCGUAAAGGGUGUGUAGGUGGCGCGCUAAGUCGGGUGUGAAAUUUCGGAGCUUAACUCCGAAACUGCAUUCGAUACUGGCGUGCUUGAGGACUGGAGAGGAGACUGGAAUUCAUGGUGUAGCAGUGAAAUGCGUAGAGAUCAUGAGGAAGACCAGUGGCGAAGGCGGCGACCUGGGCCAAUAUUGACGCUGAGGUGCGAAAGCGUGGGGAGCAAACAGG
rnacentral:rRNA from 1 species